GUCAUAGUCAGUACAUUCAUCCCCAGAUAGCUAGGUGGACCAGUCAUAGUCAGUACCUUCAUCUCCAGAUAGCUACUGUAAGGGGACCAGUCAUAGUCAGUACAUUCAUCUCCAGAUAGCUAGGUGGACCAGUCAUAGUCAGUAAAUUCACCUCCAGAUAGCUAGGUGGACCAGUCAUAGUCAGUACAUUCAUCUCCAGAUAGCUACUCUAGGUGGACCAGUCAUAGUCAGUACAUUCAUCUCCAGAUAGCUAGGUGGACCAGUCAUAGUCAGUACAUUCAGCUCCAGAUAGCUAGGUGGACCAGUCAUAGUCAGUAAAUUCACCUCCAGAUAGCUAGGUGGACCAGUCAUAGUCAGUACAUUAAUCUCCAGAUGGCUAGGUGGACCAGUCAUAGUCAGUACAUUCAUCUCUCUAGAGAGAGAAGUACAGGAAGAGAGAGACCCUUAUUUAAUAAGGGGUCACUGACUAAACUUAGAGAGGGACAGGUACUAUUAUAGAGGGGUCACAGAGAAAUCCAGGAGGAAUAGUGUUUAACAGAGGUUCUCCCACUGUUCUCAAACAGACCAUGCAGUCAUCAACUGAAAUAUUUCAUUCACAGGUUCAUUUCCCAGUAAAGACACCUUUGUAGCAUUAGCACAUUGCAGCUUCAGCCUUAGUGAACACUAACAACUAAAGUAUAGUUCUAAAAUGACAUUUGUUUCCUGGUCAAUGGUAAUACGGGAGUCCGUAUUGGUACAGCGUUGAAUAUGUCUGUAACCAUUAAGCUAAUGUAAGGCUGUGGGUUGUAGGUCUGACACAAUGUGCAUUAAACUGUAAACUUUAAUGAUGAGACUCUGUGUAAUUCAUAA
rnacentral:lncRNA from 1 species